UUUUCAUGAUUUAAGAUCUUGGGAAUAGGUACUUUUGAGUCUUUUAAAGUUUUUUCUUUUAAAAAAUAUUUUAUUUGCUUUAAUGAGCCAAGAUCUACCUUCUCACCUUCUCCUCCCCAUUGAGAACACAAAUAAAACAAAAUCCAUUACAAACACAUAGAGAAAAUAAAAUACAAUUUCCACAUUGACCAUUACAAAAGAAAAAUGCUUUUAUAUCAUUCCAAAUUCCAAACUAUUUAUCUCUCUUUCAGGAGACUAGCACUUUUUUUUUUCAUUAAUCCUAUGAAAUUCCCAUUAACCAUUGUGCUAAAAAGAUUUCUAUACAAUUUUAUUCUGUCACAUUUAUGUACCAUAACUUAUUUAACCAUUCCUCAAUUUAUGGACAUACCCUCAAAUUCUUUGCCACUUCAAAAAGAGCAGUAAAUAUUUUUGUAUAUCCUUAAAUUUUGUUUUGCCCCAGACUAAUCCCUCCCUUAACCUGUCCCCCCUUCUAAUUUCCCUUUCCCUUCCUAGUGAAAUCUAUUUCUGUACCCUGCCUUCUUUUGAUCAAUUCAGAAGAGAAUGAGUUUGAAGUGUCAAUCUCCACUGCUCCCUCCUCCUUGUUUAUUUAAGCAUCUACUUGUGUACUCUGAUUAUAUGAAAAAGUUUUCCUUAAACUUCAUUUCCAUUCCCUUCCUCCUCCAGUGUAUUUCUGCUGUUUCUCUUUCCUUAAGUUCAAGACAUAACAGAACCACUCCCAAGUCUUGCCUAAUUGGACUCCCUCUCUGAACCUUGAUGAUGAUAAAAUUCAAAAACAGCAUGUAUCAUUGUUUUAAAUUGUCAGCAUGGUGCAGCACUUUGAUCUUCCUUAAAGACACACAGAAAACAGUUUAACAGAGAUGCACAGGGAAACCUGCCUGUACUCUAAUGUAUUCCUGAAGGUGAAUGUGUUGAUAAGUCGUGGAAAUGGAGGCAAACUUCAUCCAAGUUCAACCAUUGAGGGCUGCCUCAAGCUGAAGAUGAAACGUGGGCCUCUGGGAGUGAUUUGAAUGAGCUGGACCUGAUAGAGUUAUCAGGCUCCCACAGAAAUGAUGCCUGACAUUUCUGGACAUUGUUAUAAUCAGUAUUUAAGCAACUCACCUGGACUCCGGUGGGGACCACUGUGCCAAAAAGAAUUCUUCUGAGAUCCGUAGCAGUCUGUGCACAUAUCUGUGUGGCUGCCUGGGAGAGAUGGAGCCAAAGGGGACAGAGGUACCAGUCUAAACUGGUUUCUGCAGCUUGACAGUCCUGUGGGCCAUAGAAGUUUCCCAUUAGAUGAAGAAACUAAGCCUGAGGAGGUUAAGUGACUUAUGAUAUCACAGAUAGGAUUUCUAAAACAUGGCUCAACAGGAACACAUUCUCUACCUACUUUGGUCCUUGGAGAAAGUGGACUUGAACUUAAAGUGGUUGCUCCUGGCAUUCUUCUGCUCAAAUUGACUUCUAGGUGUGGCAAAAAUAAAGGAUGAGUUGCCCAAUUAGGCAACAGAGGGAACAAAGCUCUGGGUCUGGAGUCAGUAACAUCAGGAGUUCAAAUCUGGCUUCAGACACUUAGCUGUGUGACUCAAGUUAAUUCACUUAAUUUUUGUUUGCCUCAAGCUUUUCUUUAUUGUAAAAUGGGGAUAAUAAUAGGACCUGCCUCCCAGGGUAAUGUGAGGAUAAACUGAGAUAAUAUUUGUAAAGAGCUUAGCCUAGUACCUGGCAUGUGACAUGUUAUUUACUAUGACUAGAUUAUCUCUUGUGGAGCACAGUUUCUUGGCUUCUCCACUGAUCCACUGCUGUGCAGAUUCAAGUUGGUCACUCUUUAGACUUUGGGUCACUAGGCUCUGUUGCUAUGGCUAUGGCAGGUUCUACUGUUACAGCUAUGUGAAUCUUCAAUGGAGAGGGCAGGUAGGUGUCUCAGUGGAUAGAGAUCCAAAACUAGAGAAAGGUAGUCAAAUUUGGCCUCAGAUAUAUCCUAGGUAUGUGACUCUGGGCAACUCACUUAACCCCCACACUUCUGCCUUGGAACCAAUACUUGGUAUCAAUAUUUUAAGUCAGAAGAUAUGUAAAAACAUUUUUUUAAUUAAAAUAAUUUCUAUGAACUCUUCAAAUCUGGUCUCAGAUACUCCCUAGUUAUGUGACCUUGGGCAAGUCCCUUAACCCCAGCUGUCUAGCUAACCUUUGCUGACAGAAGAUAAGGAUCACUUUUUUAAAAAUGGGGUCGAUAAGUAGCUCAGUUGAUAGAGAGCCAGGUGUGGAGACAAGAGGUUCUGGAUUCAAAUCUGCCCACUGUAAAAAUGGAGAAUUGAACUCUGGACUCUAACACCACAAAUACUCUUCCUAGUUGUGAGAUCCUAGGCAAGUCACCUAGUCAAUUGCCUAGCCCUUCCUGAUCUUCUGCCUUAAAACUGAUACUUGGUACCAAUUCUAAGAGAGAAGUUAAGAAUUAAAAAAAAAAAUUCUUCUAUGGACUCCUGAUACUCAACCUCUGGUGGCUUUUCUAACCUUUCAAAACUCAGAAGGUCACUCUGUUUCAGAUAACCAUUUACCAAGGAUCUGAGAAGACUAAAGAACAGAGACAGAAACAAUAGGAGUGCCGGGUAUUAGAGGUUCCUUGGUGAUCUGGGUGGGGAGAUGAGGCAACCCAUGGCAAGCAGUAGCCUGCUGUGGCUUCCACAACUGCCACUCUCUCUCCACCUGAAGGCUUGCAAGAUUACAUUCCUGCCCAACCAUCAACAAAGCAUAUGCUUUUAAUUUGUUUUUCCUCCUCCCACUCAUGAGAACCUGAUUUUUACUCCUGUUCAUACUUUUUUGCCUGAUUCACAGGUGACGAAAGAAGUACAUGGUAAAAAAUGAUUUUUUAUAUGGUGCUCAGGGGCUUUCAAGUGCCUCACAUAUAUUAUGUCAUCUUUUACUCAUAUCUACUCUCUGAAGAUAGGUGCUAUUAUUAUCCUCAUUUUACAGGUGAGAAAGAUUAAGUACUUACCCAAGGUCACUCAACUAAUAUAUAUAUACCCAAAGAGAUAAAGCUCUGGUCUUUCCCAUUCUGAAUCUAGCACAUAAUCCACUCUAUCAUGCUUUGACUUUUCAAGAUAACCAGCUAAGCCAGGAGAAGUGGCCUUCCCAGAAAAAGUAGAAGCCUAACUGGCUCAUGCAUGCACUGUACUCAAUACCCUGGCUUUAUAAACAUUUGGUACUGACUACCAGUGGAUAUAAAGACUGCUUCCACAAUAGUGAUGUAGCAGCAAGUGGCAAGUAGGAUAUAUGAUCCAUUGCUUUCAUUCAGGAGAAAUUAAAAAGCAUUUAUUAAUUCAAUUAAUUAAAAUGAAUAAACAUUAAGCAUCUACUAUGUGUAAAGAAUGUUAAAAGGCAAAUUUUUUUAAAUGGUCCCUUUCUUUAAGGAGUUUAACCCCUAUUGAGUACCUAGAAGAGCAGUCGCAAAAGAGGCAGAAGGACUCUAAAGAUUAGGAGAAUCUGGAAAGACUUUUUUAUUUUUGUGGAGGGGAGGGGGUUGAAGGAAGCAAGGAGGAGGUCUAUUAGAAAGGAGGAGACAGUUGGAGGAAGUUGGCCAACUGUCAAAAGCAGCAGAGGGGCCAAAGAGUGGGAAAACAACAACAACAACAAACAACAAACCCAUAGAUUUAAAAGGCAUCUUAGGGGCUACCUAUUCCAGCUCCAACAUUUUCCAAAUAAGUUAACAGAGGCCUAGGGAGGUGAAGUGAUUUGCUCAGAAUCACACAGGUCAUAAGUAUUAGGUGGAGGAAUUAGAUAAAAGCAGCUUUAACUCCAGAGGUAAGUCUUUGUUUACUGUGUCUUAAUAAUUGAAUCUGGCAAUUAAGAGGUCAGUAGGGUCUGGUCAGAAACAUUUUUGUAAGGCAGUGGGGGUUGAAGGUCAAAUGCAAGGAAGGAAGGCAAUGAAUAGUGAGAAAGCCAAGGAAUCAUACAUACAUAGACAUCAGUUGCAUAUUCAUGGUUCAAAUGAAGUGAAUGGUUGUAGGAAUUACACUGGAAAUGCAUUUACCUAAUACAAGUUCUACUAUGACAGAAGAGAUGUCAUCAUGUGUGUUUUGGCAAGAUUUUUACUCUAAUAGUAGAAUUUAUAUGAAGUUGUUCCGUCCAUCUUAUAGAAUGUUACAUGCUAUUUUCUAGCAUAUAUCACAAAAUCUUAUUUCAGGGUGUUGGGGCAUUGCUUUCACCAUAUAUCAGAAAUAAAAAUACUACUGCUUAUUAAUCUAGGGAUGCAAAGUGGUGAUAGAAGUUUUUCAGAGGUAGAUAUACAGCAGAAAUAUACAAUUAUCCCCAAAAGGAAAAAAAAAAGCAAUUCCCCAAACUCUAGUCCUUUCUCUCUCUAAAAGCAUCAUCUCUAAUAUUUGUUUUGCAUCCCAGUGGGGGUGGUGUUGGUUAAAUUUCAGUGAUUCUUGCAUAGAUUAGACUAAAAAUAGUCACAGUCACACUUCACUACCACACUUUAGUUGCUUCUUUUUUAGUUUUGGGGAUUCCUUUAUAACAGGUUUUUAGUUUCUUAAAGUUUUCCCUUAAAUAAAAGUGAUCAUCUUUUCCAUCAUGGCAUUUGUCUUGUAAAUGCUUUUAUUCCUUUUAUAGGCUCAGAGGACCAGAGCAAUGGAUAGAGAUGUGGGGUCUAGAAUCAGAAAGACUCAUCUUUCUGAGUUCAAAUCUGGCCUCAGAGACUUUUUAGUUGUGUGUCCCUGGGCAAGAGUCACUUAAUCCCGUUUGCCUCAGUUUCUUCAUCUGUAAAUGAGCUAGAGAAAGAAAUGGCAAAUUACUCCGCUAUCUCUGCUGAGAAAACCCCAAAGGGAGUCACAAAGAUCAAUAACAAAGACUAGAGCUGGAAAGGACCUCAGAGGCUAUAUUUAGUUCAGUCCUGUUGUUUUGCCAAGGAGGAAACCAAAGCCCAGAGAGCUUGUGAUUUACCCAAGACCAUAGAGUUUAUAAGCAUCAGAAAUGAGAUUUUGAACCCAGGCCCUGAUUCCAGGGUGCCUCUUUUUUCCACUGUAUAACCUAGAUAAUUUUAACCUAGAUAAUUUCCCUUCUGUGUUGAUUUUGUUUAUAUCUUCAUACUUCUUUUGCCUAACAAGAAUCAGUCAUACUUCUCUAAAUAGGAAGACUUUUUAAAAAGCAUUCCUCCUUACCAACAAUCAUGUGAAGAAAGCAGUAUAGAUAUUAUUGCAAUUUUUUUUACAGAUGAGGAAACUGUGGUUGUCAGGCAAGGUUAAGUUAUUUGAUCAAGUUCAUUUAAAUAGUAUGUAGUAGAUCUCAUGUUGCACUCAGGACUCUUUCAGAUUCAAUGCCACUACAAUAUAAUCUAUUCCAUUCCAUUCCAUUCCAUUCCAUUUAUAGGUAGGAAUAGAAAACAUAGCACACAAGGGAGGUAUUUGUUAGUAUUCUUCAAGACAGCUAGAGUCCAAAAUGAAACAUUUUUUUCCCUUAAAAAUUCAUGGAUUUUAUCCACAUCCAGAGAACUAUGCGGAGUAAAAUCACAGAAGAAAAACAUAGGAUGUGGUUCAAUGGGGAUACGUUGGGGAUGCUGACCUUAAAUGAUCACUCUAUUGCAAAUAUCAAUAAUAUGGAAAUAGGUCUUGAACAAUGAUACAUGUAAA